GAGACACCCUUCUGGGGCAAUACUUGCUAAGGUGGGUCUUUGGUGCUCACUGAGUCUGCCCCCUGAGUGUGUCCCU
rnacentral:pre_miRNA from 1 species